AAUUGAUUAUUGUCCGGGAAGUCAUACGACAUUAGCUAAAAAUAUAUAUUAUAUUAGAAACUACCUUCUGAAGAAAAUAAAAGAACAUCAAGAAUCACUGGAUGUUACAAAUCCUCGGGACUUUAUUGAUUAUUACCUAAUUAAGUGGAAGCAGGUGCUUGUAAACAAUUUACCAGAAAAUUACAUCAACCAAUUCUUAGGAAAAUCACAAUCCACAUUCGGAAUUUACACUUGAAAACUUAUCAAUCACUGUGACUGAUUUG
rnacentral:lncRNA from 1 species